AUUGAACGCUAGCGGCAUGCUUAACACAUGCAAGUCGAACGGCAGCGCGGGUAGCUUGCUACCUGGCGGCGAGUGGCGGACGGGUGAGUAAUGCGUAGGAAUCUACCUUAUAGUGAGGGAUAACUCGGGGAAACUCGGGCUAAUACCGCAUAAUCCCUAAGGAGCAAAGCGGGGGACCUUCGGGCCUCGUGCUGUAAGAUGAGCCUACGUCGGAUUAGCUAGGUGGUGGGGUAAUGGCCUACCAAGGCGACGAUCCGUCGCUGGUCUGAGAGGACGAUCAGCCACACUGGGACUGAGACACGGCCCAGACUCCUACGGGAGGCAGCAGUGGGGAAUAUUGGACAAUGGGGGAAACCCUGAUCCAGCAAUGCCGCGUGUGUGAAGAAGGCCUUCGGGUUGUAAAGCACUUUCAGUGGGGAAGAAAGAACCAAAAUUAAUACUUUUGGGUGUUGACGUUACCCACAGAAGAAGCACUGGCUAACUCUGUGCCAGCCGCCGCUGUAA
rnacentral:rRNA from 1 species